CUAUGAAAUAAUCCUGGUUGAUCCUGAAAAUCUAAGCAGAGACCUUGUCAGUAUUUGAAUGCGAGAUCACCAGGAAAUCACAGGUUGUUUUAUGGU
rnacentral:rRNA from 1 species